ACAUCAUCAAGAAGGGCUCAUAC
rnacentral:siRNA from 1 species